rnacentral:lncRNA from 1 species
ACACGGUGACGCAAGGGCCGGAAGGAGGGACCCUGUGUCUGGAGAAGCGGGAGAUGGGGGCCUGGACCCCUGGGUCUGAGGGAGGAGGGGCUGGGGUCGUGAUUCCCGUGUUUGGGAGAAAAGGGGGUUGGGAGCUGGGACUCCUGGGGCCGAGGGAGGCCUUUGGGGCUCCCACUCAGUUUUGACGGUCUAAGGCCUGGGGGCCUGGAUUCUUGGUAGGGUUGGAGAUCUCAGGAGUGUCUUUCCACUGAUAGGAUUAUACAUUCUUUCCACUUAUAUGAUUAUUUUGAAAAUUAAAAAAUGAAACUUCUCUACUCCAAACUCACUUUCUAGGAGUUUCACUGUCAACAAUUUGGUGUGGACUUUAUGUUUUCUUUUUUCAGAUGGAGUCUUGCUCUGUCGCCCAGGCUGGAGUCCAGUGGUGUGAUCUCAGCUCACUUCAUCCUCCGCUUCCCGAGUUCAAGCAAUUCUCGUGCCUCAGCCUCCCGAGUAGCUGGGAUUACAGGUGCCUAUCACCACGCCCAGCUAAUUUUUUUGCAUGUUUAGUAGAGACAGGGUUUCACCAUAUUGGCCAGGCUGGUCUCGAACUCCUGACCUCAAGUGAUCUGCCUGCCUCAAACCUCCCAAAGCACUGGGAUUACAGGUGUGAGCCACCACGCCUGGCCUGGUAUGGACUUUAUAUAUAUAUACACACACACACACACACACACACACACACAUAUUAUGGAUAAAGAUACUUUUUUCCACUCUAAUCUGUCCCAUAAGUUGUUUCCCCACAUGAGUACGUACAGAAUUAUCUCAUUCACUGAACAAUGGCAACGGGCUCCUUUGUGUGAAUUGAACACGCUUUGUUUAGCGGGUCCCUGGUCAUUUGGGUUGUUUUCUUCUUUCUAGUGAGGAGAUUCCUUUCAUGAACCUUGUGGUCUGGAGUAAAAGAAGAGACCUACAUUCCUCUCUUAAGACCCUGUACCUUUGCUCCUAAGCAUGAAGAUGGGCUUCUGACCAAGUCCUGCUAGAGGACACUGAAAGGGCAAGCCUUGGGCUUUAACCAGGCAAUGUUCUCAUCCAUAUGAGCAAGGGCUUCAUGUUACUGGCCGUGGCCCUGUGCUGAGUCCUCCUCCCGCCCAUGGCCCUCUCCUCCUGGCCAGUGGUCCUCCGCCUGAACAUGGCCGACUUUGUCUUCAGUUUCCUCUGCCUCGGCAUUGGGCUCCUGAUUUCUCUUCAGCCUGACGCUCUUUUCAGUUAACGGCAAGGCGGUGCACCCAAGUCCGGUGGUGUCCUACCUGGUGACCUCCUACCUGUGCUGGGACGCCAGCGACUUGAUGCUGCACUCCGGAGCCGUGUCCUACCUAAGCCCAGUGGGCAUGUGAAGCAGAGGGCAGCCCUUGAAUGCGCGGCGGCUGAGCUACCGCGGGUGGGCCGUGCAGCAGGGCGCAGCGAGGCGGACAUCCAAACAGCGGAACUCAGACGCUGACUCCGAGCGCACCCCGGGCCUUCCCAUUUCAUACACCCUCGAGGAUGAGACCCAAGCACCUCCAAGGAAUAGCACCCGAGGUCUUCAGGACACCGACCGGUAGCCAUGGCCAGAUGCCCGGCCAACCCCUUCAGCGUGGCCACGCCCUGGAUAUUCGACCUCCCCUGAGGCCCCACCCCCUGAUAUCAGGCCACGCCCUCCGAGGGGACCGGUGGCAAACUCCAGCCCUCGCUCUAGGGCCCGCCCUUUGCGGCUUUGUCCCUGCCCACUGGGUCCUCACAGUACCUCCACCCCAGAGGCCCAGCAUCCCCUCCCGUUCUGCAGACACUUGUCCAGCGUCCCGCUGAGCUCGGCAGUGUGGCUAGUUUGUGUGGCCCUGCCCCUGGUGCCCAGCCAGGGUGGUCUGCAUGGAACUUCUUUCCCGGAGUUCCGGCCUCAGCUCCGAUGUCCACCCUUGUCCCCAGGUGGACACAGCACCGCCCAGCAUUUGGUGCAACUCCACCCUUCUGCAGAACGGGCCCCUCCCUGGGAAGGCAUGGCUUGCAAUAACAUCCCUCUGUACCUUUUCUGGCUUCCCCGCCACAAUAAAACCUCUCAGCCUCAGACCUUCCAUUGCCCCCCACCUCCCCACCAGGGCAGGGUCCAUCCUAGUGUGAGUGAACUGUUCUGGCGUCCCUGACUUGCCCUUUGGGA